rnacentral:rRNA from 1 species
GAUGAACGCUGGCGGCGUGCCUAAUACAUGCAAGUCGAGCGAACGGACGAGAAGCUUGCUCCUCUGAUGUUAGCGGCGGACGGGUGAGUAACACGUGGAUAACCUACCUAUAAGACUGGGAUAACUUCGGGAAACCGGAGCUAAUACCGGAUAAUAUAUUGAACCGCAUGGUUCAAAAGUGAAAGACGGUCUUGCUGUCACUUAUAGAUGGAUCCGCGCUGCAUUAGCUAGUUGGUAAGGUAACGGCUUACCAAGGCAACGAUGCAUAGCCGACCUGAGAGGGUGAUCGGCCACACUGGAACUGAGACACGGUCCAGACUCCUACGGGAGGCAGCAGUAGGGAAUCUUCCGCAAUGGGCGAAAGCCUGACGGAGCAACGCCGCGUGAGUGAUGAAGGUCUUCGGAUCGUAAAACUCUGUUAUUAGGGAAGAACAAAUGUGUAAGUAACUGUGCACGUCUUGACGGUACCUAAUCAGAAAGCCACGGCUAACUACGUG